GAGGUACCGUCAUCACUACGGGUAUUAACCGUAGCUUAUUCGUCCCACUCCACAGAGCUUUACAACCCUAGGGCCUUCAUCACUCACGCGGCGUCGCUGCGUCAGGCUUUCGCCCAUUGCGCAAGAUUCCCCA
rnacentral:rRNA from 1 species